GAGUUUGAUCUUGGCUCAGAUUGAACGCUGGCGGAAUGCUUUACACAUGCAAGUCGAGCGGCAGCGCGGGGCAACCUGGCGGCGAGCGGCGAACGGGUGAGUAAUGCAUCGGAACAUGUCCAUGUCGUGGGGGAUAGCCCGGCGAAAGCCGGAUUAAUACCGCAUACGCCCGAGAGGGGAAAGUGGGGGACCGCAAGGCCUCACGCGAUUGGGUUGGCCGAUGUCCGAUUAGCUAGUUGGCGGGGUAAGAGCCCACCAAGGCGAUGAUCGGUAGCUGGUCUGAGAGGAUGAUCAGCCACACUGGGACUGAGACACGGCCCAGACUCCUACGGGAGGCAGCAGUGGGGAAUUUUGGACAAUGGGGGAAACCCUGAUCCAGCCAUUCCGCGUGAGUGAAGAAGGCCUUCGAGUUGUAAAGCUCUUUUGUUCCGGAACGAAACGGCUAGCGUGAAUAUCGCUGGCUACUGACGGUACCGGAAGAAUAAGCACCGGCUAACUACGUGCCAGCCGCCGCAGUAAC
rnacentral:rRNA from 1 species